UAGGGAAUCUUCCACAAUGGACGCAAGUCUGAUGGAGCAACGCCGCGUGAGUGAAGAAGGUUUUCGGACCGUAAAGCUCUGUUGUUGGUGAAGAAGGAUAGAGGUAGUAACUGGCCUUUAUUUGACGGUAAUCAACCAGAAAGUCACGGCUAACUACGUGCCAGCAGCCGCGGUAAUACGUAGGUGGCAAGCGUUGUCCGGAUUUAUUGGGCGUAAAGCGAGCGCAGGCGGAAGAAUAAGUCUGAUGUGAAAGCCCUCGGCUUAACCGAGGAAUUGCAUCGGAAACUGUUUUCUUGAGUGCAGAAGAGGAGAGUAGAACUCCAUGUGUAGCGGUGGAAUGCGUAGAUAUAUGGAAGAAUACCAGUGGCGAAGGCGGCUCUCUGGUCUGCAACUGACGCUGAGGCUCGAAAGCAUGGGUAGCGAACAGGAUUAGAUACCCUGGUAGUCCAUGCCGUAAACGGUGAGUGCUAAGUGUUGGGAGGCUUCCGCCUCUCAGUGCUGCAGCUAACGCAUUAAGCACUCCGCCUGGGGGAGUACGACCGCAAGGUUGAAAC
rnacentral:rRNA from 1 species